GGAUGCGAUCAUACCAGCACUAAAGCACCGGAUCCCAUCAGAACUCCGAAGUUAAGCGUGCUUGGGUGAGAGUAGUACUAGGAUGGGUGACCUCCUGGGAAGUCCUCGUGUUGCAUUGC
rnacentral:rRNA from 1 species